CCUACGGGAGGCUGCAGUGAGGAAUAUUGGUCAAUGGACGAGAGUCUGAACCAGCCAAGUAGCGUGAAGGAUGACUGCCCUAUGGGUUGUAAACUUCUUUUAUAUGGGAAUAAAAUGUUCCACGUGUGGGAUUUUGUAUGUACCAUAUGAAUAAGGAUCGGCUAACUCCGUGCCAGCAGCCGCGGUAAUACGGAGGAUCCGAGCGUUAUCCGGAUUUAUUGGGUUUAAAGGGAGCGUAGGUGGAUUGUUAAGUCAGUUGUGAAAGUUUGCGGCUUAACCGUAAAAUUGCAGUUGAAACUGGCAGUCUUGAGUACAGUAGAGGUGGGCGGAAUUCGUGGUGUAGCGGUGAAAUGCUUAGAUAUCACGAAGAACUCCGAUUGCGAAGGCAGUUCACUGGACUGCAACUGACACUGAGGCUCGAAAGUGUGGGUAUCAAACAGGAUUAGAUACCCGAGUAGUC
rnacentral:rRNA from 1 species